rnacentral:lncRNA from 1 species
UAGGGCAUGAGGAUGAGCACCGGGACCCGCCGUCCCCUCAGCCCGGCGGCCGCUGAAGCGCAGCCCGGGGUCCCCUCACGGAGCAGCAUUCGGGGCCACCUCCGCGCCGCCCACGCUAGGAACCGGCAAUUUCGGGGGGGUUUCCGUGUUUACUUUAUUGUUUCUCUCUGUUUUUCCCCUUCCCUUCCCUGGGCUGGGAGCGCAGCUGCGGAGCCCGAGGGUCGCUGGCGGGGCCGGCACCGGCAGCCGGGGGGGCGGCCAGAGCCAAACACGGAGCCCACCCCUGAAAAAACCCUGGAAAGUACUUUUUCUCAUGGUUUUUCUACUGCCUCCUUCCCUCAAAGAAACGUGAGGGAGGCCGGUGCGGGAGCCGCGGCUGCCGCAGGUGCUGGAGCAGCUCUCGCUGUCACCGUGUUUUCUAAAGCCGUCCGCCCGAGCUGAAGGACUGCUGGUAACGCGUUGCUGGCUGUUCAUGAAUCCCAGAAACUGCUUUGCAUAACAGUUUUAUUUUCAUGGAGUAAUCUUCCCUGUUAGCUGUGUUUUCAGACUCUUUGGCAAUCAGUUCUUAAUACCUACGCUGUUUUGCAAACUGGCUUUUUCAAGGCGUUACCGACUUAGCUGCUGUGGAUGGGUGCCCUGUGCUCUGCAUAGGCUGUUGUGCUUUAGGGCAAAGUGGACAAGAAACUGGGGAAAAGCAGCUUACUUCAGGAUCUUCGGAAAGUUAUCACCAAUACAGUGUUUCAAUGGUUUUUAAAAACUUUUCCUUCCCCUUUAAUUGAAAAAAAGAUCCAGAUCAUUUUAGUAUUGCAUCUUGCUGUAAAUUGUAUUUACAUUUAUAUUUAAAUUUACGUCUAAUGCCGUGUAACUCUUUGAAGAAAACCACCAGCCAAGCCUCUGAUGCACUGCCACUGCAAGAAAAUACUUGUGCCCAAGAAGGUUUUCAAUAUUCAUCAGUAAUGCAUUUAUAAAGAGAGAGCUCCUUACAACAAUGUAAAUAUAGGAGGAAAUAAAUCUAAAUAAAUCCUUUGCA